rnacentral:lncRNA from 1 species
ACAGGGUUCUAGUCUAGCGCUGGGAAGCCAGAAGAGGCAGAAAGAAAAACCGAAGCAGAGCAACUCUGGCUGUGGCGGCUCAGAAGUCCUGGCAACCCGACUUCCGGUGGAAGAACCCCAUCUGGCAAACCUGACUUCCGGUGGAGGAAUCCCACCUGGGAUUGAGAGACGAAGGAACCAAGGCUCAGAGAUGUGCUUCGACUCACCCAAGGAGACCCAGUUGAGAACCUGCCUUAGGUCUGAUCAGACAGCUUGGCUACAAAGCCUUCAUCAUAAAUCACCAGAGCUUCUCUCUAAGAGACCCAAUAUGCCAGCGCUGGGUGAGUGGGUGGACUCCUGCAAGAAAAGCCCCUCCCCCUCCCACGUCUGCUGCGUUCAUCAUAUCCCCAUCAACCUCUUGCUGGGCAAGAGGCGGAAGCUCAGCAAUCAAUCAAAUGAAAGACUACGCUGCCGUGACCACGCCCCUCUGCUCACCUUUGGCCAAGGCCAGGUGGUACUUGGAGUGCUUGCGCUUUCCCAGAGUGUUGGGAGAUCAUUGGAUCCCUGCCCUGGCUCCGACACCCUGCCAAGUGUCUUUCCUUCAAAGUUGGAGAUAUUUCUGUCCCUGAAAUGCUCACAUUUCAGCACCUUGCUGAGGUCUUUUGGAAGAGACUGGCUGGUGGGAGGCUGAUCGCCAGGCUCUGUAGGGCCAGGGGACUUGGGACAGGGCUCCCCACCAGCUGGGCUGAAUGUGUAUGGCUCAAACUUCUGUAGGAGAGUUUCACAUGCAAGCAAGUGAGGCGGAUCAGAGGCUCAAAAAAAAAAAAAAGGCCUGGGGCACUGCAAACCAUUUUUAUGAUUGUUUUGUUUUCCAAGACAGGGUUUUUCUCUGUAACCUUGGCUGUCCUGGGAUUCUCUCUCUCUGUAAACGAGGCUGGUCUCCAACUCACAGACAUCUGCCUGCUUCUGCCUCCCAAGUGCUGGGAUUAAAAGCUUGCAGCAUUACUGCCCAGCUUGAGUGCUGUGGACUUUGAAUUCAGCAAGCCAAAUUUUAACCCCAGUACUGCCUUUUCCAGUGGGUGACUGAGCUGAUCGCUUUUGCACCUUAGUAGUCUGAAGCCCAUGGUAGCAGUUGCCUUGUUGUAGGCUUAGAGAAGUGUCAGCCUUCAGGAAAAAGGGAUCAUUACCUGGACAUC